UUUUCAGGCCAUACCGAUGAUUUUCUUGCAAGUUGUGCAGUUGUUGUCUCAAGCUUGCUGCCUCCCUUUGCCAGAACUAUUGAAUUUGAAACUACAGUCAAAAUAGUGCCACAUCCAGGUUUGCAAAAAGUAUUGAAAUAGACAUGACAAACAUGGUUGUGCUAUCAGUUGAAAAACCUUCGGCUCAGCUUGACAUACACAAACUGUUCUAAUGAGGAGCGCCACUCCAAGGGUAGCAUCUAUGCAAUACUUAUGGGCACUUCAUUGGAUAAACACAGCAAUUAACUCAUUAUGUGGACUUGCGCAAUAUCCAUGCCAUUCAGCACAGAUUGAUUAAGACGGGUGAUUUCAAAUCAAAGUCUCAUCCAGUUGUGCCUUUCUGCUCUCUGUCGAACGGUUUGUCACCUUCAUCCAAUUAUAACUAGAUUGGAGAAGAUAAAUUGAUGACAAAAGAAAUGACUUGACUGCAGUAGUAAUCUUUCUACAGCUGAAUUGCAGUAUUUUAUUUUGAGGUAAAUAGUCUUUAUUGAGAAUUUCUUCUUUCGUUCGAGAGAAUUCAGGUGACCGGUUAGUGCAAUUCAGGUGAACAGUUCAGAGCUGGUCCUGGAGGGUGCCACCACAAGGUUACUUGUCCGCAUCCAAAGUUAACAUGAGCCGGACCAAAGAAGCCACUACUUAGGCUGAUAUUGUCGGCAAGGUGGGCUGCCUGGUUUCCCGGGUUUGUGGGUGUGAAGCUGCCGGAUGUAGUCGAAGGAGUUGAUGGCGGUGGCUACAGGCAUCGUUUUCUUUGUUGAAGUUUUCGAUGAAGCAGCCCUCAUCUUCUGAUCCGGUCUUACAGAUCGGAUGAUGAUGGCGCUUAGCGAUGCUUGGUGGCAUGUUCCCUCGGAGGGACCCGUUGCUAGUGCGGUGGUGGAGGCAUCAACACUCCACAUGCAGGGAGCCUUAGAUGAGCCAUUUUGGUCUUCUCUCAAAGGUCCUAGGCAUGUCGCCCCUCUCUAGCGCCGUCGAGGCUGACGAAAAUGCUCAUGGCAGAUCACGACGAUGCGAUGUUAUUCGGUGUGUACUUUUUAGCAGUGUGACUUGAUUGUCUGGCUGUGCGUGUAGUGUGUUCUGCCUUACCGGCAUCUUCUUUGUUCUCUGGUGCUUUAGACCUAGUCUAGCUCUGUACCGUUUUCUUCAUAAUCAAUAAAUUUAGCAACCCUCUUGCUAACAUAUAAAAUCACGGUAAUAGAAGUUCUAUGGUUCAACCUA